rnacentral:rRNA from 1 species
GAGCUUGCUCCCGGAUGUUAGCGGCGGACGGGUGAGUAACACGUGGGUAACCUGCCUGUAAGACUGGGAUAACUCCGGGAAACCGGAGCUAAUACCGGAUAGUUCCUUGAACCGCAAGGUUCAAGGAUGAAAGACGGUUUCGGCUGUCACUUACAGAUGGACCCGCGGCGCAUUAGCUAGUUGGUGAGGUAACGGCUCACCAAGGCGACGAUGCGUAGCCUACCUGAGAGGGUGAUCGGCCACACUGGGACUGAGACACGGCCCAGACUCCUACGGGAGGCAGCAGUAGGGAAUCUUCCGCAAUGGACGAAAGUCUGACGGAGCAACGCCACGUGAGUGAUGAAGGUUUUCGGAUCGUAAAGCUCUGUUGUUAGGGAAGAACAAGUGCAAGAGUAACUGCUUGCACCUUGACGGUACCUAACCAGAAAGCCACGGCUAACUACGUGCCAGCAGCCGCGGUAAUACGUAGGUGGCAAGCGUUGUCCGGAAUUAUUGGGCGUAAAGGGCUCGCAGGCGGUUUCUUAAGUCUGAUGUGAAAGCCCCCGGCUCAACCGGGGAGGGUCAUUGGAAACUGGGAAACUUGAGUGCAGAAGAGGAGAGUGGAAUUCCACGUGUAGCGGUGAAAUGCGUAGAGAUGUGGAGGAACACCAGUGGCGAAGGCGACUCUCUGGUCUGUAACUGACGCUGAGGAGCGAAAGCGUGGGGAGCGAACAGGAUUAGAUACCCUGGUAGUCCACGCCGUAAACGAUGAGUGCUAAGUGUUA